UUUUGCCUGUGAUGAUGAAAGUUAUCCCUGUCAGAUUAUGGACUGUUGAAAUGUUUUAUCUGAGGCAAAU